GCUCUCGGCCGUCGCUGCCCAACGAGCUUCGAUAAACUGCUCUUUUACUGACACUCUGCAGGGCCCAUCCGAAAGAGAAAAUGGGGGGAGAACCCAGGACUCUGGCGUUCUGUUCUCCUAAUAAACUGAGGUUACGAUUGCAAGGUGUACGUAUGUGGGCGGUUGGACCAAUGCUGCCAUCUCGUGGCUGAAACCCCCAACACACCGCUACCUUCCUUAAGACCGCGCUGUGGUUUGAGGUGGUUUUAGGCGCGGGCCGCAGACGGGUGAAGCAAAGGAAGAUUUAAUUUGUCAGCCCAGUUAGACCUCCCCAGAUUCCCUGGUUUACUGAAUGGGGCAGGACUUAUGAAAACUAUAGAGAUGUGCAAAAGAACAACCAUCCUUCUCUCUGCUACUAUGAAUUUUGACUUUUUAAGAUUCUACAUGUAAAUGAUAUAAUGACAGCACCCCUGGACAUAGAGAAGUUCUCAGGCCAGGGGUGGAAUCUCUAGCCGCCGGCCUGCACCACAACCACAGCAACUCCAGAUCCAAGCCACAUCUGCGACCUACACCACAGCUCACAGCAACACCAGGUCCUUAACCCACUGAGUGAGGCCAGGGAUCAUACCUGAAUCCCCAUGGAUAUUAGUCGGGUUUGUUACUGCUGAGACAUGAUGGAACGCCCACCAUUUCUUUUUUUAAGUUAAAGUUUUGAUUUUAUGUUUAUCUUUUAUUAUAAAAACUCAUUAUAGAGUUUUAUUUUUUUCCACUAUAGCUGGUUUACAGUGUUCUGUCAAUUUUCUCCUGCAUAGCAAGGUGACCCAGUCACACAUACAUGUAUACAUUCUUUUUUCUUACAUUACCAUGCUCCAUUACAAGUGACCAGACACAGUUCCCAGUGCUAUACAGCGGGAUCCCAUUGCUUAUCCAUUCCAAAGGCAGUAGUUUGCAUCUAUUAAACCCAAAUUCCCAGUCCAUCCCACUCCCUCCCCCUCCCUCUUGGCAACCAGAAGUUUGUUCUUCUUGUCCAUGGUUUUCUUUUCUGUGGAAAGAUUCAUUUGUGCCAUAUAUUAGAUUCCAGAUAUAAGUGAUAUCAUAUGGUAUUUGUCUUUCUUUUUCUGACUUACUUCACUCAGUAUGAGUCUCUAGUUCCAUCCAUGUUGCUGCAAAUAGCAUUAUUUUUUUCUUUUUUUUUAAUGUCUGAAUAGUACUCCAUUGUGUAUAUAUACCACAUCUUCUUAAUCCAAUCCUCUGUCAAUGGACAUUUAGGUUGUUUCCAUGCCUUGGCUAUUGUGAAUAGUGCUGCAAUGAACAUGUGGGUGCAAGUGUCUUUUUCAAGGGAAGUUUUGUCCGAGUAUAUGUCCAAGAGUGGGGUUGCUGAGUCAUAUGAUAGUUCUAUGUAUAGUUUUCUAAGGUACCUCCAUACUGUUCUCCAUAGUGGCUGUACCAGCUUACAUUCCCAUCGACAGUGCAGGAAGGUUCCCUUUUCUCCACACCCUCUCCAGCAUUUGUUAUCUGUGGCCCUUCUGACUGGUGUGAGUGACUUUAUGUUUAAAAGUUAACACAUCUUGAGUUUUCUGAGCCAACAAGCAUGUUCUCUAACACCAUAUUCUACAAGUGGAUAUUGAAAUAAAUUUUAGCUAAAAUAUAUCAACAGAAGAAUUCCUACUAUUCCUUAAAUACAUUUUUGGUUUUUAACAUUCAGUUAAUUUAAAUUCUUCUAGUACUUACAUUGAAUUAUGGUGGUUUUUUCCCCCCUUUUCCCCAGCAGUUACUGAAAUAUACUUGACAUAUAAUAUUGUACUACUUUUAGUUGUACACAUAGCGAUUUCAUAUUUGUAUACAUAGCCAAAUUAUUACCAUAAUAAAUUUAGUUAACACUCAUACCCUCACAUAGUUAAUAAUUCUUUUUCUUGUGAUAAUAACUUUUAAGAUCUACUCUCCUAGCUAAUUACAAAUAUACAACAUUGUUAACCAUACUCACCAUGCUAUACAUUACAUCCCUAGAAUUUAUCUUAUGACUGGAAGUUUGUACCUUUUGCUUACCUUCACCCAUUUUGCCUCUCACCCCCAAACCCCACCUCUGGCAACUACCAAUACGUAUCUAUGAGUUUGGGUUUUCAUUUUUGUUUUUUUUGUUUUUUGUCUUUUUAGGGCCGAAUCUGUGGUAUAUGCAGCUUCCCAGGCUAUGAGUUGAGUUGAAGCUGUAGCUGCCAGCCGAGCAGUGUCUGCCAUCUAUACCACAGCUUACUGAGCCACAAUGGGAACUCCAAGUUUGGGGUUUUGUUUUUUUUAAGAUUCCAUGUAUAGAUGAGAUCAUACAGGGUUUGUCUUUCUCUUUCUGACUUAUUUCACAUAAUGCCUUCAGGGUCCAUCUGUCAUUGCAAAUGGCAGGAUUUCUUUUAUUUAGAAAUAAUUUUAUUGAAAUAUAGUUGUUUCACAACAUUGUUCCUUCAUUUUUAUGGCUGAAUUUCCUCUGAUAUAUAUUGAUAUACUGAUGUCAUAUUUUCUUUAUCCGUUCAUCCAUCAAUGGACAUUUGGGUUGAUUCCAUAUGUUGGCUGUUGUAAAUCAUCCUGCAAUGAACAUGAAGGUGCAGAUAGGUAUCUUUUUGAGAUAGUGGUUUUUCUUUCUUUUGAAUAUAUACAUAGAAGUAGGAUUGCCGGAUUAUAUGGCAGUUUUCAAUUUUUUGAUGAACCUCCAUACUGUUCUCCAUAGUGGCUAUGCCAGUUUACAUUCCCACCUACAGUGAACAAGGGUUCCUUUUUCUCCACAUCCCCACCAACUUUUGUUAUUUCUGGGUUUUUUUUGAUGAUAGGCAUUGUAAGGUGAUAUCUCAGUGUGUGUGUGUGUGUGUGUGUGUGUGUGUGUGUUUGGCCAUGCCUAAGGCAUGUGGAGAUUCUCUGGGUCAGGAAUUGAACCCAUGCCAAAGCAGUGACCUGAGCCAUAGCCAUGACAGUGCUCCAUCCUUAACCACCAGGCUACCAGGGAACUCCCCCACCUAUAUUUUUUCUUCUAGGAGUUUUAUGGUGUCUAGUCUUACAUUUAGGUCUUUAAUCCAUUUUGAGUUUAUUUUUAUAUAUGGUGUUAGAGAAUGUUCUAAUUUCAUUCUUGUACAAGUAACUGUCCAGUUUUCCUAGUACCACUUAUUGAAUAGAAUAUAUUUUCUCCAUUGUAUAUUCUUGCCUCCUUUGUCAUGGAUUAAUUAACCAUAAGUGUGUGGAUUUAUUUUGGGGCUUUCUUUUCUUUUCCAUUGAUCUAUGUGUCUGUUGGAAGCACAACUGAUUAUUGUGUAUUGAUUUUGAAUACUCCAAAUUUACUGGAUUUAUUAGUUGUAAGAGUUUGUGCGUGUGUGCGUGUGUGUGUGGAGUCUUUAGAGUUUUCUUCCUGUAGGAUCAUGCCAUCUGCAAACAGUGAGAACUGUCCUUCUUCCUUUUAGAUUUGGAUUUCUUUUUUGUGGGGGCUCUGAUUGCUGUUUACAAUAUUUCUAGUACAAUGUUGAAUAGAAGUGGCAAGAGUGGACAUCCUUGUCUUGUACUGAAUCUUAGGAAAAAAUUAUCAGUUUUUCUGCAUUGAUUAUGAUUUAGCUGUGACUUUUCAUAAAUGGUCUCUGUUAUGUUGAGAAAGUUUCCUUUUGUACCUAUUUUGUUGAGAAUUUAUAUCACAAAUAAAUGUUGAAUGUUGUCAAA
rnacentral:lncRNA from 1 species